rnacentral:rRNA from 1 species
GACGAACGCUGGCGGCGUGCUUAAUACAUGCAAGUCGAACGGAAAGUCCCUGCUUUUGUUGGGUUCUCGAUUGGCGAACGGGUGUGUAACACGUGAGUUACCUGCCCUUUACUUUGUGAUAACUUCAGGAAACUUGGGCUAAUACCGGAUAGGAUCUCCUGCUGCAUGGUGGUGGUUGGUAAGUUUCGGCGGUUGGGGAUGUACUCGCUGCUUAUCCGCUUGUUGGUGGGGUAGUGGCUUACCAAGGCUUUGACGGGUAGGCGGACUGAGAGGGUUAACGGCGACAAUGGGACUGAGAUACGGAGCAGAAUGGUACGGGAGGCAGCAGGGGGGAAUAUUGCACAAUGGGAGGAAGGGUGAGGAAGAAAGGCAGGGUGCGGGAUGACGGGCUUCGGGUGGUAAACAGAUGUGGAAUGUGAGGAAGAGGGAGUGACGGUAAUGGGUAAAGAAGCACCGGCUAACUACGUG